rnacentral:ncRNA from 2 species
AUCUUUCAGCCAAACGGAGGCAUGCAGAGGAAGCCGGUGCGAGUCCGGCGCGGUCCCGCCACUGUCACCGGGGAGCACACUCGACGUUUGGUCACGGCGGUCCGUUCGUACGGCUGCCGGUGGACCGGGGGUGUGUCCGCCCCGGAAGCCAGGAGACUCUCGCCUCCGGUACGUCGAUCCA